rnacentral:rRNA from 1 species
CGCUAGCCCCAUGAUGAACACAUGCAAGUCGAGGGGCAGCAUGAAGUUCCUUUGCAAACUUUGAUGGCGACCGGCGGAUGGGUGAGUAACGCGUAUCCAACCUGCCCCCUUCCCGGGCACAGCCCUUGGAAACGAGGAUUAACUCCCGAUGGUGUCAGACUAGCGCAUGCUUAUCUGACCAAAUGUUUAAGGAAGGGGAUGGGGAUGCGUCCCAUUAGCUUGUUGGCGGGGUAACGGCCCACCAAGGCUCCGAUGGGUAGGGGUUCUGAGAGGAAGGUCCCCCACACUGGAACUGAGACACGGUCCAGACUCCUACGGGAGGCAGCAGUGAGGAAUAUUGGUCAAUGGUUGCAACUCUGAACCAGCCAAGUAGCGUGAGGGAAGACUGCCCUACGGGUUGUAAACCUCUUUUGUCGGGGAAUAAACCGCAUCACGUGUGAUGCUCUGCAUGUACCCGCAGAAUAAGGACCGGCUAAUUCCGUGCCAGCAGCCGCGGUAAUACGGAAGGUCCGAGCGUUAUCCGGAUUUAUUGGGUUUAAAGGGAGCGUAGGCGGGCUGUUAAGCCAGCCGUCAAAUUGCGGGGCUCAACCCCGUAUCGCGGUUGGAACUGGCGGCCUUGAGUGGGCAAGAGGCGCGUGGAAUUCGUGGUGUAGCGGUGAAAUGCAUAGAUAUCACGAAGAACUCCGAUUG